rnacentral:rRNA from 1 species
CUACGGGGCACUGCAGUGGGGAAUAUUGGACAAUGGGCGAAAGCCUGAUCCAGCCAUGCCGCGUGUGUGAAGAAGGCCUUCGGGUUGUAAAGCACUUUCAGUGGGGAAGAAAGCCUUGGGGCUAAUACCCUCGAGGAAGGACAUCACCCACAGAAGAAGCACCGGCUAACUCCGUGCCAGCAGCCGCGGUAAUACGGAGGGUGCGAGCGUUAAUCGGAAUUACUGGGCGUAAAGCGCGCGUAGGCGGUCUGAUAAGCCGGUUGUGAAAGCCCCGGGCUCAACCUGGGAACGGCAUCCGGAACUGUCAGGCUAGAGUGCAGGAGAGGAAGGUAGAAUUCCCGGUGUAGCGGUGAAAUGCGUAGAGAUCGGGAGGAAUACCAGUGGCGAAGGCGGCCUUCUGGACUGACACUGACGCUGAGGUGCGAAAGCGUGGGUAGCAAACAGGAUUAGAUACCCCGGUAGUC